rnacentral:rRNA from 1 species
GAUGAACGCUGGCGGCGUGCCUAAUACAUGCAAGUCGAGCGAACAGACGAGGAGCUUGCUCCUCUGACGUUAGCGGCGGACGGGUGAGUAACACGUGGAUAACCUACCUAUAAGACUGGGAUAACUUCGGGAAAUCGGAGCUAAUACCGGAUAAUAUAUUGAACCGCAUGGUUCAAUAGUGAAAGACGGUUUUGCUGUCACUUAUAGAUGGAUCCGCGCCGCAUUAGCUAGUUGGUAAGGUAACGGCUUACCAAGGCAACGAUGCGUAGCCGACCUGAGAGGGUGAUCGGCCACACUGGAACUGAGACACGGUCCAGACUCCUACGGGAGGCAGCAGUAGGGAAUCUUCCGCAAUGGGCGAAAGCCUGACGGAGCAACGCCGCGUGAGUGACGAAGGUCUUCGGAUCGUAAAACUCUGUUAUUAGGGAAGAACAAAUGUGUAAGUAACUAUGCACGUCUUGACGGUACCUAAUCAGAAAGCCACGGCUAACUACGUG